UACGCCCGUUUUCUUUGACAGAGGUGGCGGUGGGCCAGAGUGCCAGCUCGGGGCACUCGCUGGCUCUCUCUCGCGUCCUCUGGCUGCCCAUCAACCUCCUCGCUCUCCUGAUGCUCUUUAAACUUUAGAAGCCUUUAGCGGUUGUAAGAGGGCGCAGAGAGUCACCUGCUGUCAAUUCCCUGGCGGCUCUGUCACUGGACGAGCCUCAACCACCAACACAAAGAUCAGCUUAAGGAGAUAGGAAAAUAGUAGAGUUAAUUUCAUAAGUUAAGACUUUGCUCUCGAAGCAAAACAUUAGAAAGAAGACAUGGAAUUGCUUAAGAAUAUGAAGUAUGUUGUCAUGAGAUAUUUACUUUUUCCCUUUUUAUUUAUAUUUUUUAUAUUUUUUUCCAUCAGAUAAUAAUAUGUGUAACAAAGUGUUGUGGUUUAAGGCUUUCUUGAAUGGUAUUGUAAGGGUAUAGUUGUCUCUCUCCUGUAACCAUGUCUACAUAUAUUUUUUUUAUAUAUAUCUUUCUCUCUCUUUAGAAGUCGUCAGAGAUUGUAAAUUAUUUUGACAAAUGUUCUUUACUGUCCACCUCAGCAGAUGAUGUGUCAGUAGAAAUAAGACAAAUGUAUGUUGCACUCCAUUUUCUGGAUUCAAAGAGAGCACCUCGAGAUUAGGUCCGAGAUGAAAGAUUUUUUUUUUUUUUUUCAAUAACACCAUGACCCCCCCCCCCCUAAAAAAAAAAAAAAAAAAAAAAAAAUCAGCCUUGAGCUACACAGGCUCAGGAAUGAUUGACUGAUUAAAAACAGUAUCCUCCCGCACUCAUGAAUAUGAUUUUAAGAAAAAAAAA